CUGUUUGCGCAGUGGCAGUAUCAUAGCCAAUGAGGUCAAACCGAGGCAUUAUUAUUGCUAAUUGUGAUGAAGCUGAGGCUUGAUGACAGCGGAGGGGCUGUGUUCCCAUUAGGGAAGAGCUGCUGACUUAUUUUUUGUCGGGGGCUUUGCACAUGCUC
rnacentral:snRNA from 1 species